AGCCGGGUGGUGUAGCGGCCAAGCAUGCGGGGCUUUGGCCCCCGCGACCGGGGUUCGAAUCCCCGCCCGGCUACCA
rnacentral:tRNA from 1 species